rnacentral:lncRNA from 1 species
AAGCUUUGAAACUAAUUUUAAAUUAUGUAUUUUAUAACUAACCAGUCGCUAUAGGUUUUGAAAUUACUAUUAAAAUGUAGUUUAUUAUAUCAAUAUUAAUUAAAUCACUGACUUUUUGAUAAAAAUAAACUAUUGAUCUAAAUACUCAUUUACUUGAGCCGAUUUUCCUUAUAUAAGAAUGAAAAAUGAGAAACAUCCACAACAUCUCUAAUAUUUGAGUUAGGAUACAAAUGAAAGAUCAUUUCAACCUUAACAUCAAUU